GAUGAACGCUGACAGAAUGCUUAACACAUGCAAGUCUACUUGAAUUUGGGUUCUUUAGCGUAGAUUUGGGUGGCGGACGGGUUAGUAACGCGUAAAGAACUUGCCUCACAGCUAGGGACAACAUUUGGAAACGAAUGCUAAUACCUGAUAUUAUGAUUAUAAUGCAUCUUAGGAUUAUGAAAGCUAUAUGCGCUGUGAGAGAGCUUUGCGUCCCAUUAGCUAGUUGGAGAGGUAACGGCUCACCAAGGCGAUGAUGGGUAGCCGGCCUGAGAGGGUGAACGGCCACAAGGGGACUGAGACACGGCCCUUACUCCUACGGGAGGCAGCAGUGGGGAAUAUUGGACAAUGGACCAAGAGUCUGAUCCAGCAAUUCUGUGUGCACGAUGACGUUUUUCGGAAUGUAAAGUGCUUUCAGUUGGGAAGAAAAAAAUGGCGGUACCAACAGAAGAAGUGACGGCUAAAUACGUG
rnacentral:rRNA from 1 species